CCCAGCCCAUGGUGCCAGAAUAUUGGUGCUUCCAGUGAGUCUAAUUCUAGUGUUUUCUGAGUGUGUUUGUUCUGCCUGAUCCUGACCUGUUUCUGCCCCCGGACUGCUGAGUUUUGGCCGCCCCUCUUCUGCUCUGUUUUGCCUCUUCUGUGUUUCCGGACUUACCUGGAUUUCACCUGUUGCCGACCUUGGACCUGUCUUCUGACCAGGGCUUGGAUUAUCCCUCCUGGCUUCCUCGUUUCCUCUGUGUGCUCUGGCUGGUGCUGAUCACUGCUAGUCUUCCCUCCUGGAUAUCUAGUACAGGCUCAGUUUCAAGCUGCGGGUUUCACCUCCUCAGGAUUUUACUCCUUCUUCUGAGCACAGACUGAACUUUGCCAGGAAAGUGGGCGUAUAGGUGGUGCAGUGGUUGGCGCGCAUUACCCAUGUAUGGAGACCUUAUUCCUUGACGCGGCAGACGCGGGUUUGAAUCCGACCUCUUGUCCUUUUCUGCAUGUCUCUAUCCCCUUUCCUGUCAGCCUUCUGUCAAAAACAAGGAAAGAUGUAGUAAAGUGAGCUGUAACACCCCUA